rnacentral:tRNA from 1 species
UUUUCCAUAAUGUAGUGGUUAUCACGUUCGCUUCACACGCGAGAGGUCCUGGGUUCGAGCCCCAGAUGAAACA